UAAAGAUUCAUCGCUGAUAGAUAGGCAUGCGUUCCAUUAGGCAGUUGGCGGGGUAACGGCCCACCAAACCGACGAUGGAUAGGGGUUCUGAGAGGAAGGUCCCCCACAUUGGUACUGAGACACGGACCAAACUCCUACGGGAGGCAGCAGUGAGGAAUAUUGGUCAAUGGGCGUAAGCCUGAACCAGCCAAGUCGCGUGAGGGAUGAAGGUUCUAUGGAUCGUAAACCUCUUUUAUAAGGGAAUAAAGUGCGGGACGUGUCCCGUUUUGUAUGUACCUUAUGAAUAAGGAUCGGCUAACUCCGUGCCAGCAGCCGCGGUAAUACGGAGGAUCCGAGCGUUAUCCGGAUUUAUUGGGUUUAAAGGGUGCGUAGGCGGCCUUUUAAGUCAGCGGUGAAAGUCUGUGGCUCAACCAUAGAAUUGCCGUUGAAACUGGGGGGCUUGAGUAUGUUUGAGGCAGGCGGAAUGCGUGGUGUAGCGGUGAAAUGCUUAGAUAUCACGCAGAACCCCGAUUGCGAAGGCAGCCUGCCAAGCCAUGACUGACGCUGAUGCACGAAAGCGUGGGGAUCAAACAGGAUUAGAUACCCUGGUAGUCCACGCAGUAA
rnacentral:rRNA from 1 species